AUUGAACGCUGGCGGUAUGCUUAACACAUGCAAGUCGAACGGUAACAGGCCUUCGGGCGCUGACGAGUGGCGGACGGGUGCGUAACGCGUAGGAAUCUGCCUGUUAGUGGGGGACAACGUGGGGAAACUCACGCUAAUACCGCAUACGCCCUACGGGGGAAAGCGGGGGACCUUCGGGCCUCGCGCUAACAGAUGAGCCUGCGUGGGAUUAGCUAGUUGGUAGGGUAAAGGCCUACCAAGGCGACGAUCCCUAGCUGGUCUGAGAGGACGAUCAGCCACACUGGGACUGAGACACGGCCCAGACUCCUACGGGAGGCAGCAGUGGGGAAUAUUGGACAAUGGCGCAAGCCUGAUCCAGCAAUACCGCGUGUGUGAAGAAGGCCUGAGGGUUGUAAAGCACUUUUAAUCGGGAGGAAUAGCGGUCGGUCAAUACCCGAUCGUCUGACAUUACCGAUAGAAAAAGCACCGGCUAACUCCGUGCCAGCAGCCGCGGUAACAC
rnacentral:rRNA from 1 species